rnacentral:rRNA from 1 species
CCCUUAGAUGUUCUGGGCCGCACGCGUGCUACACUGAUGCAUUCAACGAGUCUAAAACCUGGUCUGAUAGGGCUGGGUAAUCUUUUGAAAGUGCAUCGUGAUUGGGAUAGAUGAUUGCAAUUCUUCAUCUUCAACGAGGAAUGCCUAGUAAACGCAAGUCAUCAGCUUGCAUUGAUUACAUCCCUGCCCUUUGUACACACCGCCCGUCGCUCCUACCGAUUGAGUGAUCCGGUGAGGCUCUGGGACCUGGACGGAAAGAGCGUUUCGCUUGUUCUGUUUGGGAAACUUGGUCGAACCUUAUCAUUUAGAGGAAGGAGAAGUCGUAACA